AGAGUUUGAUCAUGGCUCAGAACGAACGCUGGCGGCAGGCUUAACACAUGCAAGUCGAGCGCUGUAGCAAUACAGAGCGGCGCACGGGUGAGUAACACGUGGGAACGUGCCCUAUGGUUCGGAAUAACUCAGGGAAACUUGAGCUAAUACCGGAUAAGCCCUUACGGGGAAAGAUUUAUCGCCAUUGGAGCGGCCCGCGUCCGAUUAGCUAGUUGGUGAGGUAAAAGCUCACCAAGGCGACGAUCGGUAGCUGGUCUGAGAGGACGACCAGCCACACUGGGACUGAGACACGGCCCAGACUCCUACGGGAGGCAGCAGUGGGGAAUCUUGGACAAUGGGGGAAACCCUGAUCCAGCCAUGCCGCGUGAGUGAUGAAGGCCCUAGGGUUGUAAAACUCUUUCGGCGGGGACGAUAAUGACGGUACCCGCAGAAGAAGCUCCGGCUAACUUCGUGCCAGCAGCCGCGGUAAUACGAAGGGGGCUAGCGUUGUUCGGAAUUACUGGGCGUAAAGCGCGCGCAGGCGGUCCUUCAAGUCAGAGGUGAAAGCCCAGAGCUCAACUCUGGAACGGCCUUUGAGACUAGAGGACUUGGGUACGGGAGAGGUGAGUGGAAUUCCGAGUGUAGAGGUGAAAUUCGUAGAUAUUCGGAAGAACACCAGUGGCGAAGGCGGCUCACUGGCCCGUUACCGACGCUCAGGCGCGACAGCGUGGGGAGCAAACAGGAUUAGAUACCCCCGUAGUCC
rnacentral:rRNA from 1 species